rnacentral:rRNA from 1 species
AUUGAACGCUGGCGGCAUGCUUUACACAUGCAAGUCGAACGGCAGCGCGGGGCAACCUGGCGGCGAGUGGCGAACGGGUGAGUAAUACAUCGGAACGUACCCAGAAGUGGGGGAUAACGUAGCGAAAGUUACGCUAAUACCGCAUACGUUCUACGGAAGAAAGUGGGGGACCUUCGGGCCUCAUGCUUUUGGAGCGGCCGAUGUCUGAUUAGCUAGUUGGUGAGGUAAAGGCUCACCAAGGCGACGAUCAGUAGCUGGUCUGAGAGGACGACCAGCCACACUGGGACUGAGACACGGCCCAGACUCCUACGGGAGGCAGCAGUGGGGAAUUUUGGACAAUGGGCGCAAGCCUGAUCCAGCAAUGCCGCGUGAGUGAAGAAGGCCUUCGGGUUGUAAAGCUCUUUUGUCAGGGAAGAAACGGCUGAGGAUAAUACCUUCGGCUAAUGACGGUACCUGAAGAAUAAGCACCGGCUAACUACGUGCCAGCAGCCGCCGUAACAC